rnacentral:rRNA from 1 species
GAUGAACGCUGGCGGCGUGCCUAAUACAUGCAAGUUGAGCGGGAGGUUUACCUCCAGCAGCGAACGGGUGAGUAACACGUAUCUAACCUGCCCUUAAGUCUGGAAUAACGUUGGGAAACCGACGCUAAUGCCGGAUAGGUAAUUGAAUCUUAUGAAUUAAUUAUUAAAGAAGCGUUUGCUUCGCUAAAGGAUGGGGAUGCGCAGCAUUAGAUAGUUGGUGGGGUAAAUGCCUACCAAGACAAUGAUACGUAGCCGAACUGAGAGGUUGAUCGGCCACAUCGGGACUGAGACACGGCCCGGACUUCUACGGAAGGCAGCAGUAAGGAAUUUUUCACAAUGGGCGAAAGCCUGAUGAAGCAAUGCCGCGUGAUUGACGAAGGUCUUCGGAUUGUAAAGAUCUGUGGUUAGGAAUGAAAGCAAGAAUAGGAAAUGAUUUUUUGCCUUGACAGUACCUAAUUAGAAAGUCACGGCUAACUACGUGCCAGCAGCCGCGGUAAU